GGCUCUGCUAACCACAAAGCUCCUUUCUUUCUCCCCCUUGCCCCUCUCCCUUUUUCUUCUCCCCCCUUUUCCUCUCUGCAGAGGGACACGCUGGCGAAGCACAAAGCAGCCUCAGGAGCCAGAAGCCGAGGAGGAGGCGGAGGAGGAGAAUCUUGCCCCUUCGCGGAGAGGGAAAAAGGAGAGAGAAGGAAAGGGAGAGGGGGAAAGAGAGAGAAGAAGAAGAGCUCUGUGUUAGCAGGGCCAAGGCUGGCUCCACUGAGAGGGAGGCCCUGGGGAGCCCGGGCGAAGGAGGCCACCUUUGCUGCAGCCUCCAUGACUUCUGGCUCCUGCGGCCGCUUGGCGCUUCACCAGCUUGCCCCUUUGCCGGCCUCUUCACAGGCUCACCCCUUUGCGGGCUCACCCCUGCCUCUGUUGUGAACCAGCUGGAACCUCAGAGUGACUCUGAUGGGGAUUAUGGGAUUCAGGUUCAAGAUGACUCUGAUGGGAAUUAUGGGAUUCAGGUUCAAGAUGACUCUGAUGGGGAUUAUGGGAUUCAGGUUCAAGAUGAUGGGAUUCAGGUUGAAGAUGACUCUGAUGGGAAUUAUGGGAUUCAAGUUCAGAGUGUUCCUGCUGUGGAGGAUGAGGAGCAGGGAGGCCUCCCCACGGCAGGGAAUGGUGUUGAUGAUACUGAAGAUGAUACUGAAGCUAGCCAGGUGCAAAUUGACUCAGGAAGGGAGGACAGCUCCCAGUCUGAUAGCAAGCAGACAGACUCUAAUGCUGUCUGGCCUUGACAAAAUGGAAUCUUUGGAUCGAGCUGGUCGUUUGGAAUUCCGGGUUUGCAGAAGUGUUAAAUAGCAAACAAGAGGGAGGUCAGAGGGCAAAGAAAUGCAUUCAUGCUAUGCAAAGGGUAUUAAAAGAGUGUGCUGAGAGAGAAACCUUUGUCAAAGCAACUUCUUGUUUGAGUCAAGAAGCAAUCUCUUGCUUCCCCGGAUUAUCUUGCAGCCUUGGUGUGUUCAUGUUCAUGGGACUAUUGUCAUGCAUUGAUGGACCUUGUUUAUGCCUAAUGUUUUCUUGGAUUAUUCUUUAUAGCCUUGUUUUGCAACAAUCUUUUGGAACUUGACUUUUGCUUUUUAAGAACUAUUUAUUUCCUAUUUCUUAACAAACUACAAAAGACUUUAACCUAUGUGCAGCCUGGUGUAUUUAGCAAGGUGAAACUAACCGGAGGUGCGACACUAGCCCCAAUCUCUUCUGCUUUGGUCAGACUUCCUUACCUGGAAUAAUAACCCUGUGUCCAGUUCAGAGAAGCAAAAUUCAAGAAGGAGAUGGACAAAGCCAGAGAGCCUCCAGAGAUGGGAGGCUGGAAUGACCAAAGAUUUGGAAACUAAACUCUCUGAAGAACAGCUGGGGGAGCUGGGUUGGUUUAAACUUUAGGAGAGAAGGCUGAGAGAAGGGGACAUUUGAGCCGUCUCUGGAGGAUUUUAAGCAGAGGCUGGAUGGCCAUCUGUCGGGAGGGAUUGAAUGGUGUCUUCCUGCCUGGCAGAGAGAAGGGGGCUAGACUGGAUGACCUUUGGGGUUUCUUCCCACUCUAGGAUUCUGUGGCCCGAAUAGCAUCCUAUGACAAGGCUUGAAAUCGGAUUGAUGUGGGACAUAUUGCCUUUAUCAUUGGGGGUGAUGGUGGUCGUGCUAUGCUUUGUUUACAGACCUGCACUUUCAGAUGACAUGGGAUGAUGAGGAUAAUAACAACAAUAAUAAAGUCUAUUCUUCCUUAUAUCUUACACUUGGGACCCAAGGCAACAUCUAAAGUAAAAUGAAUAGAUUAUAGUUUAAACCAAUGAUGGGCAACCUUUUGCACUUGGUGUGUCGAAAUUCACCAAAAAACCUAGCAUGACUUGGGUGGUGUGUCACUUCAAGAAAAAGACCAUAAUUUCGCACUAUGUAUAGUUUAAAUAACAAAAAUAUAUAAUUGCAAUAUAUAACUGUAUUCAAUAAAUCAAAAACUAUUUACUACCAUUAUUUCCAUGUACAACAAUCUAUGGUAACUCUUGCAGUUUCCACGCUGAUUUCUCUCUAUUCUAGUUUCAAUGUAGUCAUGAAUAAUGAAUAAUAUAAAAAUAAUAUAAUAGUAAUAAUAUGAUAAUAUACUACAAUAAUAAUAGAAUGUAUCUAUAUAUAUAAAAGGGUAAUGAAAUUUCGGCCUAGGACAAAAACAACAAAACUACACAUCCCAGAAACACUAAACUUGGCAGCACAACCCGUCAUCCAUGCCUCUACGUUCAUACAACAAAAAGAAAAGAAGAAUAAAGUCCUAAUUAGAGGGAGAGGAAUAAUUGUUUUUAUCCAAUUGCUGCCAGUUAGAAGGCUAAGCUCCACCCACUUGGUCUCCUAUCAACCCACUCAGCCCAGGGGACAGGCAGAGUUAGGCCUCACUUAGGCCUCUUCCCCACUGCCUAUAAAAUACAGAUUAUCAGAUUUGAACUGGAUUAUAUGGCAGUGUAAACUCAAGGCCCUUCCACACAGCUAUAUAACCCAUUUAUAAUCUUAUAUUAUCUGCUUUGAACUGGAUUAUCUUGACUCCACACUGCCAUAUAAUCCACUUCAGUGUGCAGUCGGACACAACUGGACUUAAUGUCAGGAGAAAACCUUGACCCUUGACCUUAACUACCACCAAUUCCUCAAUACUUUAUUUCCCAUAUCACCAGACUUCGCCACAGCAACACAUGGCCGGGCACAGCUAGUAUACAGUAGAGUCUCACUAAUCCAAGCCUCGCUUAUCCAAGCCUCUGGAUAAUCCAAGCCAUUUUUGUAGUCAAUGUUUCCAAUAUAUCGUGAUAUUUUGGUGCUAAAUUCAUAAAUACAGUAAUUACAACAUAACAUUACUGCGUAUUGAACUCCUUUUUCUGUCAAAUUUGUUGUAUAACAUGAGGUUUUGGUGCUUAAUUUGUAAAAUCAUAACCUAAUUUGAUGUUUAAUAGGCUUUUCCUUGAUCAGUCCUUAUAAUCCAAGAUAUUCGCUUAUCCAAGCUUCUGCUGGCCCGUUUAGCUUGGAUUAGUGAGACUCUACUGUGUAUAUUUAUAUAUAUAUAUAAAUGCAAUGUGCAUAAUUCCCAUGGAGUAAACAACAAAACCACUGGACCAAAUCACACCAAAUUUGGCCACAAAAGACAUAGUUAUCCAAUCAAUCUGCAUGCAGCAGUGUGUCAGCAAAAAUGGCUAGGCGUGUCAGUGCUGACACGCGUGUCAUAGGUUGGCCAUCACUGGUUUAAACUAUAGUUAAAACAUAUGCACCGUAGAGGAUUUCUUUUCAUGACUGGGAGGGAGCUUGUGGCACUUGGGACAAAACACUUGGGUGCUUUGAAUGCGAUUUCCUGCUUCUUGGCAGAAUGGGGUUGGACUGGAUGGCCCAUGAGGUCUCUUCCAACUCUAGGAUUCUAUGAUUCUAUGACUGGGACUGUCAAUGUUCCCUUGGCCUGGCCCUCAAGCACAAGGUUGGGACAGAGAGCCUUAAUGAAGGGUUGUUGUUGUGCUUGAUCGACACCAGAUCACGCUCCCUCACCUGCCCUUUGGAGAUAAGGAUCCCUGUCGGCGAGGGAGGGAGGGCGGGCCGUGGGAGCAUGAAAGGUGCGCCGCAGGUACCCAGGGCAAAGCGCACCUCUCCUUGCCGUCUCCUUUUACAUGGCCCAGAGGAUCCCUUUGAUCUCCCAGGCUUGGCAAUCCUGGUGAUAGACGGAGGGCUGUGGCAGAGGAGUCACGAGACCUCUUCAGCCCUGGUUGCAAGAGGAAGAUGUCGUCCAUUGAAGGGUCAAAAAUAAAAACUUCAAAGCAAGGCUGUUAGAUACAAGUCGAGAUGUUCUGUGCAAUUGGAAUGAGCCUGGGGACUGACCUCACUGGCACCAAAAGCUCUAGGAUGGCGUGCACCCCCCUUUCCCAAAACGACCAGACAAAUUUGGGCAAAGAUGACCGUCACUAGAGAUAGAAACUUGGAACCAUGAAUCAUGCGCAUUAAAUAGUACCAUGAAAUGUGGUAUUUGUUCCUGCGGUAAAAACCUCAUUUCCUAAUUUAUUCUAUCAUAAAAUCAUGGAAAAAGUUUUUUAAACUGCAAAAGUGUUGUGUUUGCAGAACAUCCUUCAGCACAUUCUGCUCUAGGUUUUCCAGAAAUAUCUGAUUGAGUUUCAACCGAUUUAGCCUAGUUUGUGGCAGCCAUAAAAACAAAGUCCUUUCGAAGGCUUUCAUGGCCGGGAUGGAUCACAGGGUUGUUGUGUGUUUUCCGGGCUGUAUGGCCAUGUUCCAGAAGUAUUCUCUCCUGACGUUUCACCCACAUCUAUUGCAGGCAUCCUCAGAGGUCCUCACAACCUCUGAGGAUGCCUGCCAUAAAUGUGGGCAAAUCGUCAGGAGAGAAUACUUCUGGAACAUGGCCAUACAGCCCGGAAAACAUACAACAACCCCAUAAAAACAAAGUUUCUGGAGUAGAACAACUCCUUUCAAAGUUAGGACUGCACAAUUAAACAGGAAACAACUUUCAAACAGAAACAGGACAGGCCUCCAAAGAGGCUCCGUGGACACAUUCGCUCUGAGUUUCCCACCCGUGUCCUCCUUGUCCUCAUCCCACUGCAAUCCUAGGCUUAACCAACCAGAGUCCAGUGUCCAGACCGAGGCGACGUCCUGGUCUCGCUCUCUUCUCCUGCUUUGAGCAAACGUCACCUGGAAUUAUAACUAGGCAUGUGCAAAAAAAUCGGAAGAGUCGGAAAUUGUAAGAAAAUUGGAAGUUUUGUAAGUCGGAAGCCAUAUCCGAAGUGUUUGCAUGGCC
ensembl:lncRNA